AAAGCAUUUUUCUCCUAUUGAUCUAUAUUUUUAAAAAAUGAAGUGUGACUAGCAGGAGAAAUGAGUCACAGACAGACUGGAAAGUAUGGAAAUGAAAAAAUGAAAGAAAUUAAUGCACUGACUAAAUGGAUUCCACAAGCUCCCAAAUGAGAACAGCUGGCGUAGCAGGUGGAAAUUUUUCAAGUAAUCCAAACUAGUUUGGAAAAACACUCUCUGCUUAAAGGACAUAAGCAUACUGCAAGACUGUUGAAGACCCAGGAUAGUGCCAACUAUUCCCUCGCAGCAUUUCUUCUCAUACUUUGUCUUAGCAUUUUAAUUAAUGUUGUGCACUGUGCAGUAUGCUCAAAGGAACGGGCAUAAAUAUUCCAUUUGACUUCCUAUGCUACUGUGGUUGCUUAUUUUGCAGCUGUGUUCUGAAAUUUCUUCACAAAUUUGGAAAAUUGUUGUAAUUUGUUUUAAUUUUUGGUCUGUAAAUAUAAAUGAUUAAAAUAAAUACAAUUAUGAUUAA